rnacentral:tRNA from 1 species
UUAGCUCAGUUGGUUCAGAGCGUCUGCCUUACAAGCAGAGGGUCGGGGGUUCGACUCCCUCA